GACGAACGCUGGCGGCGUGCUUAACACAUGCAAGUCGAACGAAGUGGCGAACGGGUGAGUAACGCGUGAUCAACCUGCCCUUCCGAGGGGGACAACAGUUGGAAACGACUGCUAAUCCCGCAAACUGACGGAGGGGAUUGCGUCCGAUUGGCUAGUUGGAGGGGUAACGGCCCACCAAGGCGAUGAUACGAAGCCGGUCUGAGAGGAUGAACGGCCACAUUGGGACUGAGACACGGCCCAGACGCCUACGGGAGGCAGCAGUGGGGAAUCUUCCGCAAUGGACGAAAGUCUGACGGAGCAACGCCGCGUGAGUGAUGACGGCCUUCGGGUUGUAAAGCUCUGUUAAUCGGGACGCGGUACCGGAAUAGAAAGCCACGGCUAACUACGUGCCAGCAGCCGCGGUAAUUC
rnacentral:rRNA from 1 species